UUUUUUUUUUGUUUUUUUUGUUUUUUUUGUUUUUUUAGGGCCGCACCCUCGGCACAUAGAGGUUCCCAGACUAGGGGUUGAAUCGGAGCUGCAGCUGCCGGCCUACACCACGGCCACAGCCACGCCAGAUCCAAGCCGCGUCUGUGACCUACACCACAGCUCAUGGCAAUGCCGGAUCCUUAACCCACUGAGCCACAAUGGGAACUCCAAGUUUAGCCUUUCAUCGCAUUUGCCACUUCUUUGGCCAUCGGUGCCUACCUGCAGAUCUGAGGUGUCAUCUGAGGUCAUUUCUCCUCACCUUAAGCAACUUACCUUAGCACUCCCUAGGCUGAGAGCCGCUUGCAACACAUUUUCUCAAUUGUCGCUUAUGGAAAAUAUCUUUGGAGUUCCUGCUGUGGCUCAGGGGGUUAAGAACCCGACAAGUAUUCAUGAGGAUGCAGGUUUGAUCCCUGGCUUUGCGCCCUGGGUUAAGGAUCCAGCAUUGCUGCAAACUGUGGUGUGGGUCGCAGAUGCAGCUCGGAUCUGGCGUGGCUGUGGCUGUGGCCGUGGCUGUGGCCAGCAGCUGCAGCUCCGAUUUGACCCCUAGCCUGGGAGUUUCCAUGGUCACAAGUGCGGCCUUAAAAAUGAGAGGAAAAAAAAAAAAAGAAAAAGAAAGACAGAAGGAAAGCGAAAGAAAGAACGAAUUUUUAUUUUGCCUUAGCUUUGAGGAUUUGCUGGAUCUAGAGUUCUUGUUUGACAGUUUUAAUUUCAGCGCUUUGGAGAUAUGUUCCAAAGUCUUCUGCCUUCUGGCUUCUGUUGAGCAGUCGGCCGCCCGUGGUCCACAUAGCCUGGUUUUCCCUCCCUGCCUUCAAGGGCCCCCCCUUCUCUUCGGCUUUCAGUUGGGUUACGAUGUUCCUGGGAGUGGAUUCCAUUGUUUUCAUCCUGCUUUAGCUUCCCUGAGAUCUUGGCUCUUUAAUGCUUCCCACAAAAUUCGAGGUGGUUUUAGCAUCAUUUCUUCAAAUAUGUCACCUAUCCCUUUCUCGGUUCCCUCUCCUUUGGGGACAGUCACAUAACCAUUGGCUGCUUCACUGCUCCACGGAGCUGAGGCUGCUCAUUUCUCCAAAGUCUUUUCCUCUCCACUUUUGGGGGCUAUUUGAUUUCUGCUCUCUAUCUUGAAGUUCACUAAUUCUAUCUUUUUUUUUUUUUUUUGUCUUUUUUUUUUUUUUGCCUUUUCUAGGGCUGCUCCUGUGGCAUAUGGAGGUUCCCAGGUUAGGGGUCUAAUUGAAGCUGUAGCCACCAGCCUAUACCACAGCCACAGCAACAUGGGAUCUGAGCCAUGUCUGUGACCUACACCACAGCUCACGGCAACACCGGAUCCUUAACCCACUGAGCAAGGGCAGGGAUCGAACCCACAACCUCAUGGUUCCUAGUUGGACUCAUUAACCACUGCGCCACGAUGGGAACUCCUGAAGUUCACUAAUUCUCUAAAUCUGCUGUUCAAACCACCUAAAAAACCCCCACAAAUUUUUCACUUCAGUUUUCAUACUGUUCAGCUCUAGAAAUCCCAUUUUUAGCUGUUUUUAAUGUUUGUGUUUCCUCAUUUGUCCACUCAUUAACAUAAUUACACCUUAAUUAUUAAUACAUAUUGAUAAUAGGUGCUUUGAAGUCUUCGCUAAAUUCAACAUCCAUAUCCACUAGGAGUCAGUUUCUAUGGACUUAAAGAAAAAAAAACUGGUCAUGAACCAUAUCUUCCCAAUUCUUCGCAUGUCUCCUAAUUUUUGGUUGAAAAUUAGACUUUUUUUUUUUUGCCUUUUCUUGAGCCGCCGCUCCCAGGCUACGGGUGCAGCCCUAACAAGGAAAAGAAAAAAAAGGUAACAUACCGUAGUGCAUCGGGAUACUGUUGUGUUCUCAGGAUGACUGUUUCGUGUUGUUACUGUUGUAGCGGGAGGGGAUCCAUGAACCCUGUCUCCCGCUGCAGGUGCAAUAGCUGGAUCUCU
rnacentral:lncRNA from 1 species